rnacentral:sRNA from 25 species
AAUGACAUUAAACAAUCGGUACGUGUGCCGGCGUGGAAGUCAGGAGGACAAACCACAGCAAAAGCGGAGCAAUCCGGAAAGCUGAAAAACAAAGCGUGGGUAGAGCUUGGUAGGGCGGCAACGUCUCGAAAAUCUUAGACCCG